CUCAGAUGAUGUUGCCCGCAGCUGGCAACGAAACGUCAGGGAGAAGUAUUUCUACUAUUGGACCACGGCCUCUUAGCCCGGAAGUUUUAAUUACUGAUAUCGGCUAACCUAUUCAAUUAAUGGGUUUUUCAACGAGCAGAUAUGCAAUGCACUCUGAUCUAAGCACAUUAAACAUUGAGAGCAGCCAGGUGCUAUGAAAAAUCUGACUUCAAUGGUUUUCCUACCUCAUGUCUAAUAGGAGGGCUUUGGGAAUUCCUGCCAAUGACCAAUGUUCUGGUUGCAAAUGGUCCUUCAACCUGAUACAGUGGUUACAGCAAGCAUCAUAGG